GGAACGCGAAAGAGCACGUGGAUCCAUCACAGAAUAUUUUGAUUUAUAUUCUGUCUUGAAGUCAGCAGCCGGGCCAGAAUUGGUAUGUGGAAUUCUGGUUUAAAUAUAUUAACAUUGACAUCGAGUUGAUAUUUGAUAAUGGCCCCAAGUCGAAAUACUUUUUGCAACACUGAGCUAUUGUAGCUAAAAAGAUUGUGCAGUAAGCAACAGAAAAUGCUACCGUCGAGAAUUUGACUGCUUAAGCUGGAGGUCUUUUGCUACUGCCUCACUUAUUCAAUCCGAAGUCUGUGCCAGACAAAAGUAAAUAGGCCACUGGAACCAAAGAAAAGAAAAAAGCCAAUAAUAAGAAUGGAAAAGUAUUAUCAAGU